rnacentral:rRNA from 1 species
UGCCAGCAGCCGCGGUAAUACGGAGGGUGCAAGCGUUGCUCGGAAUUACUGGGCGUAAAGCGUGCGUAGGCGGCUUCACAAGUCAGACGUGAAAGCCCGGGGCUUAACCCCGGGAGGUCGUUUGAAACUAUGGAGCUUGAGUAUGGGAGAGGGGUGUGGAAUUCCCAGUGUAGAAGUGAAAUUCGUAGAUAUUGGGAGGAACACCAGUGGCGAAGGCGACACCCUGGCCCGAGACUGACGCUGAGGCACGAAAGCAUGGGGAGCAAACAGGAUUAGAUA